rnacentral:antisense_RNA from 1 species
GUAGCACCUGUCCUCAGAUCCAAGAUACCCAGGAAACCCAAGCUGUGUAACUAAAAUCCACACAUGGACACACUACAGUCAAACUGCAAAAUACUAAAACUGAGAAAGUCUUAAAAACAGCCAGUGAGGAGUCACACCACCGACAAAGGAACAAUAAUUAGCUAACUGGCUUCCGAGCAGCAAAUGUCAAAGCCAGUAGAAAACAAAGGAAGAAUACCUUCAUUGUACUAGGAGAAAAUGCUGUCAACCUAGAACUCUUUCAAGACCAGGGUAAUUUUCAUACCUAAGAGACAUAUAAGAGAUUUACCAACAACAUACCUUCUCAAUGGAAAUUCCAAUUCAUUUUAGAUGGAAGGGAAAUUAUCUCAAGAAAAGACUGAAAUGUGAAACAUAAAAGCUGACUGUAUGCUGGGAAUAAAGUUAGCCUCAACAAAUUUCCAGGUACAGUAUUGAUUUUAAUUAGGCUCCCUGAUCACAAUGCAAUCAAGUUAGAAAUCACCAACAAGAAAGAGAAAAACCCAAUACAUUUGGAAAUUAAACACAAUUCUGACAACUCGUAGGUUAAAGACAACUCUUUAAAGUCUCAGAAAUAUGAAGCUUGUUCCAACUGCCUUAAAACAUCAGGCAAUUUCUCAUGUAAUCAUUAGUAAAAUUGAUUAUGUUUUAAAAAAUAUAAUUGCCAA